GUAACACUCUGAAGACUACUCACAUGAAAAUUAAAAUAAUCAGGAACAGAUUAGCAUGACCUCAGUGCAAGGAUGAUACACAACUAUGUGAACUGGUCCAUAUUUUC